AUUGAACGCUGGCGGCAGGCCUAACACAUGCAAGUCGAACGAGUGGCGGACGGGUGAGUAAUGUCUGGGAAACUGCCCGAUGGAGGGGGAUAACUACUGGAAACGGUAGCUAUUACCGCAUACCAUCGGAUGUGCCCAGAUGGGAUUAGCUAGUAGGUGGGGUAACGGCUCACCAAGGCGACGAUCCCUAACUGGUCUGAUAGGAUGAUCAGGCACACUGUAACUGAGACACGGUCCAGACUCCGACGGGAGGCAGCAGUGGGGAAUAUUGGAAAAUGGGCGAAAGCCUGAACCAGCCAUGCCGCGUGUGUGAAGAAGGUCUUCGGGGUGUAAAGGACUUUAAGUUGGGAGGCGGUACCAACAGAAUAAGCACCGGCUAACUUCGUGCCAGCAGCCGCGGUAAUAC
rnacentral:rRNA from 1 species